rnacentral:lncRNA from 1 species
AAGGAUCUAACCUGUGUUUGGGAGCCUUUGAAUCUAUGCUUGUUUCGUCAUAAUCGAAACUUAGUAGCGAUUUAGAGCUUGCGAGUAAGACUCGCAAACUUGUGGUUCAAUAUGAAGCCUUGAUUGACCAUCGAAUGGGUCGAAAGGAAAGGUAAGAGAAUCGUCGAUGGAGGGCUUGUCGAUUGGCCGAAUAUUGAAGGGAAAAGCUUUGUUUUCUUUCUCCUUUUUUGAAGCGGCUAGAGGAUUUACUUAGGGUAGUUUUGCUUUUAUGGGGAUUUACUUAGGGUUUGUUUUGGCUGCUAUGGGGAAUAUUAAGUGACACCGUUUCAGGCUAAUAAUAAUAGCCUCAAAACGGCAUUGCUUAAAAGGGAGGGGGUAUUUACACGAUAGGUCCUCCCUUUCGUGUGUGCACUCGAUUGCACCUUGUUUACUUUGUUUUGUUUUUUUAAUUUGGUUUGGUAAGUCGUAUUCAUUUUCAAUUGGGUCCACGCCUCAAUAAGGAUCUGGAAUAAUUCCAGUUUUAGUCCUUGUGCAUUUGUGCACAUUACACGCCGGUCCUUAUUUUGGUUUCUUUUAUUUAGAAAUUAUCCCUUUUAUUUUUAAGUUUAUUUCAUUAAGCUUCCUAUUUGAAAUAUUUAUUAUUUUAAAAUUCAUUUAAUACUUUUAUCUAUUUUAUUAACUUUGCUUUGUUUUUUAUUUAUUUAUAUUAUUAUUUUGAAGUUGGUUUUUUCAUUUAGACAUUUUUGUGUAUAUUCGUAUAUAUAUUAUUUUGGUUAGAUGAUUGUUUUAAAAUUCAUCUUUUGUUUAUAAAAUCAUUAUUUUGAAAGUCAUUAUAUCGUAUUCUUUUAGUAUAUUAGAUAGUAUCUCAUUUAAAUGUGUUUUUUAUAUAUACGUAGAUAUAUAGUAAUAUUAAUUUAAUCUUGUAUGCGUUUCCUUGUUAUUUUUUUUAAAUAAUUAUUUUUAAAUUUAUAUAUGAUUUAUAAAUCUAUGAUAUGUAUGGUUUAUCUCCCUAGAUUAUAUUUCAUUAUAUAUAUUUUCAUUAUAUUUUCAUAUUUUAUACAUUAUUAAAUUCUCCUUUAUUGUAUGUAUUUUUUAAAAUGUUUUUAACACCUUGUAUAUUAUUUGACUUUAAAAAUCUUCAUUCUAUAAUACACAUUUUAAAUGAUUAUAUAUAUCUCUAGUUUUUUUAAAUCCAUCAAUUCAUUACAUAAUAUAUAUUAUGUACUUAUCAUUGUUUUAAACAUGUUUUAUACCAUAUUGCUUCUUUGAUUUGCAUUUUGUUUUGUGCAUCUUGUAUUGAUCAUUUUAUAUUAUGCCAUGUAUGUUAUCGUUGCAUAUUAUUUAUUCAUUUUAUUGUUAUAUCAAUUGUCCUCCAUCCAUGUUUAGAAGUUCGAUUACAUUCGUCUUAGGCUAGUCAUACUUGAUUAUCAUUUUGUUAAUUGGCAUUGCAUCUUAUGAAAUAUUGCUUUAUAACUCCUAACUCCUUAUAGUUAAUUAUUUCAUCUUAUUUCAAGUAAAAUUAAUACGUUUUAAGCUAUUUCUAUGAUUGUUUAUUUGAAGAUUCGUUAAAACAAAGGCAAUAUUCGAUGUUUGGAAAUUCGGGGAAUAGUGCCCUAUCGUUCUGGGUUUCGAUUUCCCGUUUGUUCAAAAUAAUCAAAUAUUCCUUUAGAAUUUUACUCGUGUUUUUCCAAACGAUAAAACAAGGCAAUAUCUGAUGUUUCAAAAUUCGGGGAAUAGUGCCCUAUCGUGCUGGGUUUCAAUUUCCCGUUUGUUCAAAAUAAUCGAAUAUCCCUUUGGAAUUUCACUCGUAUUUUCUAAAGCAAGGCAAUGUUUAAUGUUUGGAAAUUCGAGGAAUCGUGCCCUACCGUGUUGAGUUUCGGUUUUUCGUUGGACUAAAUAAUUGAGCAUCCUUUUGUAAUUUACAACAUAUGAACUUUUGGAAGUCGAAAUUUAUCAUGUUUUCGAGGGUAUAAAGGAUCGUGUCCAAUCGUGCUGGAUGUGAUGCUAUAUUCCUCUGAAACAAGAGAAUUUGGACGACCAACUUGAACUAUUCAAAUGUUUUCAAAGGAAUCAUAUUUCAAAAAAAAUUUUAAAUCUUAGACAUAAGGACAGUAUUUAAUCGAUUUGGUACCAAUUUUGGGCGUAGUGAGGGUGCUAAUCCUUCCUCAUGCGUAAUCGACUCCCGAACCCGUUUUCUCAAAUUUACGUAGGCCAAAAUUGGUUUAAAUGGAGUAAAAUAUUUUAUUAAGGUGAUCCAAUCACACUGAAACAAUAGAUUGUUGGCGAGUUCAUAUUUCGUUUUCAAAGUCGAUCCACGUUUUUGUUUUCAAAUUUAAAAGAUGGUUUCGACACAUAUAUUUAAUAUUAAAUAGAUAUUUAUUAUUUUAUAAAAGAUAUUUAUUAAUUAAAUAAUUAUAUUAUAAGAUUUUAUAUGAUAAAUAUAUUAAAUAAUGACAAAUGUUUGGUUAUAAAUGGAUACAAAUGUACUAAUAAUAUACACAUGAAUAAAUAAAUAAUACUUAUUAUUUAAAUAUAAAUACAUGUGUGUAUAUAUAUAAUAAAGAAAUGAAGAAAGAAAAAGAGAAUAGAGAUGAAGAAAAAGCAAACGAAACAGAGAGCAGGGGAAGGAAGGAAAGAAAAAAAAAAAGAGAAAGGAGAAAAGGGAAGAUUAAAGGAGUGAAGCUUGGAAGUUUAAUAGGUAAGUUAAUUAAGUCAUUUUCUUUUAAUUUUGAUGUUUUAAAAGUUUUGGAAUAAGGUUUUGAUGAAGUUAAGUUGAUAUUUUGAAAGUUAUUAGAUUUUUAGAUAUAUUCAUGUUGAAUGAAAUGAUUGAAUUAGGGAUUAAAUUGAUAGAAUUUCAAGUUAGAAGUGAAAUAAGGAUUGAAUUGUAUGAACUGUGAAAUUUGGGGCAAAAUAGAAAUUAACAUCUUGCACUAAAACAGUUUUGGACAGCAGCAGUAGUCUAACUUUGAAAAUUCACCAAAAAUUAUAGAGAUCGAAUUAUAGGAUGAAUAAAAUAUGAAAUUAAAUCUUAUUAAGUCUAGUUUCUUAUAGAAGAAAUGGUGUAAGCAAUGAAACUGUAAAUCAUGAGAUAUAAUAAAUUUUGUGAGAUAAGGUCAGAAUGAUUUUGGGUCCCCCUGUACUGAUUUUGAAAAAUCAUAAAAAAUUGGAGAAAAAUAAUUAUGGGCUUAAAUAGAAACAAACGGAAACAUAAUUUGAAUUCUAUAUGAGGAGAUAAUUAAUUUUUAGUGAAGAAGAGUCAGAACUAUCAGACAGCAGAACAGGGGUAAAUUUAAAGAAUAAACUGUACUUAUUGGCUAAACCAAAAAUUCUGAAAAUUUUAUGGUAAAAAGAUAUAUGAGUCUAGUUUCAGGGAAAAUUAGCGGAUCUUAAUUUGGAGUUCUAUAUCUCCAGAUAUAAAUAAUUUAGUGACUAUGACACUGAUGGACAACUUGAAUAUUCAUAAAAGUAAAUAAUAAAAAUUAUAGAUGAUGUUACUUACAAGUGUGUUAUAUACAUUAAGGAUGUGGAAUGGAGAGGAGGAGGAGGAAAAUAUAUAUGAUAUCCAGCUAGCAUGGCUAACUUCCAUGUUUUAGGCUUAAGGACUAAAUUGAAUAAAAGUAAAACUUCAGGGGGCAAUUUUGUAAAACUAUCAAAAAUGACCAAAUUAAAGGGAAUGAAUUGUUUUAUUAUCUAAAUUAAUAAAUUGAAUAAAAUUUUCAAUUUAAGAUCGAGUGAAAAUCGAUAUAUUUGAUAAAAUGGGAAGAAAUCCCGGUUGAAUAAAAUGAAAUUUCAAUGGAUCUCUGAAAAGGAAUUGACGGUAAAAAUGAUCUAGCCGGACGGGUGAUCCUAUCCUGAUGUAGCCCUCCCGAAGAAUAUGUGUAAAACGGAUUUAGCCCGGACGGGUAAUCCGAAUUAGGGUUUGAAUUUAGCCUGGACUGGUAAUUCAGAUCCAAGCUCAUUAGAGUAAUUGUCGUUGCAGGAGAUUUAGCCCGGACUGGUAAUCCCGACAAUACUCUAUGAGUUUAUAUUACAGGGGAUUUAGCCUGGACUGGUAAUCCCACUGUAAGGAUGAGGUUCGCGGGAGUGUGCUCUCUGAAAUGAAAUGUGUAAGACCAUAGUUGAAAGAUACCAUGGCAACCUAAUAUGAAAUGUGUAAGACCAUGGUUGAAAGAUACCAUGGCAACCUGAUAUAAAAUGUGUAAGACCAUGGUUGAAAGAUACCAUGGCAACAUGAAAUAAAAUGUGUAAGACCAUGGUUGAAAGAUAUCAUGGCAACGUGACAUGAAAAGAAUAAGACUAUGGUUGAAAGAUACUAUGGCAACAUGACGGGAAUGAAUAAGACCAUGGUUGAAAGAUACCAUGGCAAUGUAAUAUGAAAUGAAUAAGACCAUGGUUGAAAGAUACCAUGGUAACCUGACAGAAAAUGAGUAAGACAAUAGUUGAAAGACACUAUGGCAUCAUGUCGAAGAUAAAUAAGACCCUGAAUGGGAGAUACUAUGACAUCAGUUGAACAAUUGAUAUUCAGGUAAUAUGUAUCAGAUGAUGAAGGGUUAUACGAAAUGGUUCUGUGAAAUGUUUACAAGAAUUGGUUAUAUGGAAAUAUAUGUACAAAAUAGUUGUAUGAAAUAAUUAAGAAGAUAGAUAAAUGAAAUAAGUAUAGGUACAUGGAAUUUAAUUUAUAUUAAGUUUAAUAUGAACUAUUACCAAAAUAAAUAUACAUAAGAUAUAAGGAAAUGAUGGUGCAUGAAAUAUACAUAUAACGAAAUGAAUGAUAUAUGCUUAUGAAGAAACAAUAAGAAAUUAAUAUGUUUUGUGACAUGUACAUAUAUAAUUAUCUUUGAUAUGUUGAUACAAAGAAAUUAUGUAAGUUGAGAUUAUUAUUAAAUUCAAGUGUGAUAUGUUGAGAAAAUAGGGAUAUCAAUGUUGAAUUUAUAUGAAAUAUGUACUAGUAUACUAACAAUGUUGCUGUUUGAUGCUUAUACAAGUGCCAAGUUGUUGAUUGAACGGUAAUAUAUUUAUUUAUAUGAUGCAUUGAAUCGGUAAGAAUUUAAUUAAAUUUUUUUUAGGUGAUCUGUAAAUUCUAGUAAUGCUCCGAAACCCUGUUUCAACAACGGAUACGGGUUAAGGGUGUUACAAUUCAAAUGUUUUAAAAUGAACCAUAUUUCAAAAAUAGUUUUAAAUCUUAGACAUAAGGACAGUGCUUAAUCAAUUUGGUACCAAUUUUAGGCGUAGUGAGGAUGCUAAUCCUUCCUCAUACGUAACCAGCUCCCGAACCCGUUUUCUCAAAUUUACGUAGACCAAAAUUGAUUUUAAUAAAACAAAGUGUUUUAUUAGGUGACCCAAUCACACCUAAAUAAAAUAUUGGUGGCGACUCCACAUUUGGUUUUCAAAAAGUCGAUCCCCGUUUUGUUUUCAAAUAAAAAAUGGUUUCGACAACAUCAUCUAUUUAACAAAAUUUUUCCCUCAUUUUCUUUCUUGCCAAACACUAUUUUUCUUAUUCAAAACACAACAUUCUUAAACAUGUUCAGUCGUUCAUUGAUCUAACUUCAAAAUUUCCAUUCUUGAACAUGAAGAUUGAUUAAACUUUUUCAUCAGAUAUCAUGCAUACAUUAAAGAAAUUCCAAAGCUCUGAGUAUAGAUUCCAGAAAUUUUCCACAAUCUAAUAAGAUACAUUAGUCUUUCUUCUAAAAAUAAUAAAGGAAAAAAAAUGCCUAAGCAAGUAGUAGACAAUAACAAACAACAGCAGAAUUACCUUCGAAUCAAACUCUUGAACUUCUUUGACCAAAUUAAAACAUGAAACCCAGCAAAUAGGAAGUAGAUCAGAAAAAUCUUUCUCUGAAAAGCUUGCAUCUUCAACAUGUAAACACAAAAAUCUGCAGGCAGCCAGCUAAAAUAACAUACAACAUAGUGAGUGAGUACAACAACCUUCAUAAAUAGAUUAUUAUUAAGGGGCAGAGAGAGGAGGGAAACAUGAUGAAAAAGGAAAAGCAAACUUCUAAAAGAUACCCUCACAGAUAGAUCUUUGUCCUGUAACAACCGUAUCAAGGCACAGUAUACAGGCCUCUUUGUGUCAUUCUUAAUCUGCAUGAAUGCAAAUAUCAGAAAAGAAUCAUUAUGAGUAACUUCCCGCAGCAACCAAAGUAGAAAUUUAAGAGGAAUAACAAAUAAUACAUAGUAUUAUAUCGACAUUCAAGAAUGAAAAAUUUGAAGAUGAAGAUCAAUGAAUGACAAAACAUGUUCAAGAAUGUUGUGUUUUGAAGAGAGAAAAUGAGAGAAAAAAAUGGCAGCCGAUAGUUGGGGGAAAAAAAUAAUGAAUUUAAGUCGAAACUUGAAAGUGUGGGGUGGGUUUACAAAAAUUACACAAAAGCAUGAUUAUAAUCAUGGUAAUGGAGAUUUCCAUAUGUUUUGAAGAAGAAAAAUGGUGUUUGGCAAGAGAGGAAAUGAGAGAAAAAAAAUGGUAGCAACCAUGUGUUUUGAAAAAAAAAGUGAUGUUCGGCAAGAGAGAAAAUGAGAGAAAAAUUUUUGUUAAACAGGUGACGUCAUUUAUGACGUGUGCGCUUAUGUGGCAUGCCACAUGGGCUACUAUGUUGACCUACAAUUUGAUUAACGGUCAACUCACAUUGACCGUUAAAAGUGGACUGAUUUCUGAAAAAAUCGUAACAUUGAGAGUGUCAAUCAAAAAAUAAAAAGGUUAAGGGCACAAAACCAAAAGCCCUCAAAUGUUGAGGGUUUUUUUUUGCAAUUAUGCCUUUAUUUAUUCUAUUGUUGGAAUUGAAUUAUUGUUGGAAUUAUAAUAUUGAAUUGAAUUUUGGAUUGAAUAGAACGCGAGAUUUGAGUACAUUCGUAUUUUGGUGUAUGAUGGUAUUGGAAGGAGACAACGCCAUUUUUUCCAAGUAAAUCAGGGUUAAGCAUUUGUUGUGAACUCUCAUGUUUUACUUUCUAUUUAGCUCUUAUGAGCUUAUGUUCACGAGUUUCUGUUCAUCUUUCGAGCUUUUAUUGUGUAUUCAGAAAGACUAGCUCUUAUGAGCUUCUAUUAACGAUGUACUCUUAUGAGUAAGUCAUUUUUCGAAUGGAAAAAUUUUGGUAAGAUGAUUUAUCUAAUGAAUUUGAAAGACAUGUUAUUAUUGAUAUGAAAAUGGAUGUAUUUAUUAAUAGAAGUUAUGAAUGACAAGAAAUUGUCAGUGAAUGAUAGGGAAUUGAUAUGAAUGAUUUUAUUUAUUUUACUUGUUAUGUUAGGUUCGGUAAGAUUUUUGUUUAAAUCGUCGAACUUACUAAGCUUCAUUAAGCUUAUUUGUAUUGUCUAAUAUCUCUAUAGAUUUUUAGAAGGUUGGAUGAUUGGAUCAGCACUCAAGUCACACUAUCCAGCUUAUCUCGGUAGUUUUUGAAACAUUAAAUACGGUUUAUAUAGCAUGUAUAGGCUUUUGUUCGAUUUUGGUCAAAAUUUAGCUUAUGUCAAUGUUAUGAAUAAUAUUUUUUUUAUAUAACCAACAUACAUAUUGAUAUGAAUAUAAAGUAUGAGUGUGAUGUUAGUAUAAGUGAUAUAUAUAUAAUUGAGUUAAAAUGAACUUUGGUAACUUAGUUAGGUAAAUGUUUGGUUAUUGGUAGACUUAUUUUCAGUUGUCAUUAGAGGUACUUAUGAGUAUAUUGGUUGUAUAUGGUAGUAUUACAUGUAUAAGACUUGAUUUUAGCUUGUGUUGAAUGUCUUGUUAUGGCUUAUUGAUUUGUAAAUUGUUGAGACCAGGUUGGUAUCAAUUUGGGUGAAAAAUGUGGCUUAGAAAAUAACCUAUUUUCGUCCACAUGAGCAGAGAUACGGGCGUGUGUCACAAUUGUGUGUGACACACGGCCAAGUGACACGGCCGUGUGCCGUGUGUCCCCUAUAUCAAGUCAGUAUGCACACAUGGCUUAGCACACGGGCGUGUGGCUUGGCUGUGUGGCCCAAGUUUAAGAGUUAUACAAGCACGAACACGGGCUAGUACACGACCAUGUGUCCCUAUUUCAAAUGCCCACACGAUUGUGUGUCCCCUGCAACUUUGAAAAUUUCAAUGUUUUCUGAAAAAUUCUUUGAGUACCCGAUUUAGUCCCGACUUGUUUUUAACACGUAAUUUGGGCCCCAAAGGCUCAUAUAAUGGAUAAUAUGUUUGAUUUUGAUUAAUUUUUGACAUGAAUGUUAUAUUAUAUAAAAUGUAUGUUUAUUUGAUCUGUAAUCUCUAGUAAUGCUCCGUAACCUUGCUCCGGCGAUAGAUACCGGUUAGAGGUGUUACAACUUAGAUUCCACAAGAAAAAUAUAAAAAUAUAAAAGUAGGGUGCAUUGGAUUUUGAUUCAAAUAAUUUAAAAUUCAAAUAAAAAAGUUGAUUGUAAAUGAAAUAUAAAUCUAUCUCAAGAUGUUUUAUUUUGCUUUGCAAAACCAAACAUUGACUAUGAGAUAUGGCAUUUUAAAAGACUUUUAAAUAUUGAAAUAGCAAAAGUUUGAAACUCUUUACCAUAUUCAUAACCCCAAAAGUUUCAAAAGUAAUAAUUGUGGUGACUUGAUAUUAAGUGGAAGAGUGGGCAAUGAUUGGUUUUCCUUUGAAGACCAACUUGUUAGUUUUGGAUCAAAAUAAAGAAUGUAAUCAAUGUUAAACUGUGAUUAGUGUGAUGACUUGCCUAAUCCACGCUUGAAUACAUAUAAAGAUUUAGUCAAGUAUUGAAGAAUGCAUUUUACUUCUUUGGAGCAUGCAUAAACUUAAGAAGUUUGGUUCAUUGGAAACAAUCAAAUUUUGUGAAGGAAAGAGAUUAGAGUUUCCCAAUAGUUUAUCAAUAUAUGGUGACAUCAAUAUGGUCAAAUGCUCUUGAAGUUUAUAAGGAUAAGAGGAACUAAUUUAAGUACAAACUCAUAUACUGUAUUGCAUCCCUCUAUCAUUGAUAACAUGCUGAAUGUAUUUGCUUUGCGUCAUUAGGUAUAAUCUUAUCGAAUGUGCAUUUAUAUUUAUAAAAAAGUUGGUAAGUAAAGCAAAACAAAUUCAAUUUGGAAUUGAAUAACUGGCUUGCGAUAUGGAGAAAGGUUCUUAACAGAUUUCUUUCAUCCUAAUACUCAUGCAAGGGAGGGAUUUGCACAGUUAAAAUCCAAAGAAUAUGACGACAUGAUCUUUAACAUAGAUCAAUCUCUUAAUAAACUUUGUUGGAAUUAUAGUCCCAGGUUGAUGGUCUUAAAAACUUUGCUCUCUUCUCAGCGGUACAAAAUAGACUGAAAGUUCUUUAUUAUUCUCAAAUGACAAAUGCAUUACUAUUAAAACCACACACUAAUAGUAAACAAAACACUAGAAAUCAGGCAUCCUUUUCCAUACGAGUGGUGGAAUGAUCAGAAGCAGGUAUUCACAAGUUCCUACUGAUCAUAUCUUUUCAUUUUUCCUAAAUCAAAGUACACCCGAUGGUCCCAAUAACUUCUUGAUUCCAGAUUUCUGCUCUGCAGUUAACCUUGUUGGGAACUUAAUGUUGAACUUGAUUCUGAGGUUCCCUCUUUUCGAUGGGUCUUUGGGAAUUGGCAUACCUUCCUUCGGGACUACCUCCUCAUAGUUUGGAUGGAUCACACUGUUGAUGGGGAUGUUCAAGCUCCUUCCAUCCAAUGUUGUAAGAUGAACGGUGUAGCCUGUUAAUGCUUCGGCCAGCGAUAUCUUUUGCGUGACAACCAGGUCAUUGCCAUCGCGUGUGAAUGUGCUGUGAGGUUUUUCAUCUAUUAUGAAAACAAGAUCUGCAGGGAUUGUGUUCGGUUGUUCGUUUCCUUUCUCAGGGAAGGUAAUCUUUGUUCCCUUUUUCCAACCAGGUUUGAUAUCAAUGGUCAGGAUUUCCUGCACUGGCAAUGUCUUCCUGCAACACAGACAAAUUUUUAAGACAACCUUGUUAGCAAGGGAACCAUCAGCAGCCAUGAAAAUAGUUGGCAUUAUCAGGCAUGUUACGAUCUUAUCUCGGAUAGGUAUGUUAUUUAGAAACAUGUACGAAAUAUGAUCAAGACAAACUCUUCAGCUCUCUUUUACUGCUUACUUAUAGACUAAAACAGAUCAAUUAGGAAGUUAACAAAUACGCUUCAAUAUAUCAUUGAAAACCAAUAAUUGAAUGAUUAAUAGUACUGCAAACAUAUUUCAAUAAAUAGAUACUUCUUGUUACUUCAGAAAGAUAUCAACCAAAUUCAAUGAACGUUCAGCUGGAAACUCGAAAACACAUACAAAAAGGAAGAUAAGAAGUCAAAUUAGUAAAAUGAGGCAUACCCGAUAGCAUCUGCAAUUUCUCUAGAAAUCUUCAUCUUCUUUGUGGUUCCUUUAUAUAAAUCUUCAAGGCUACAAGGCAACGUAUUUUCAAUAGGAGGAGGUUUACGAGGAUUCUGACUCAUUGGCCUUCCUUCACCAAACGAACUGAAUAUAUCAUCACCAAACAUGCCACCAAAUGACCUUGAGCUACCUCUCAUCCCACUGCCGCCCAUUCCCCCAAAGGGGCUAGAAUACCCAAAGAACUCGGCAAAGAUGUCAUUAGCAUUUCUGGGGUUGAAUCUGAACACAUUUGGACCGUCUCCGGUUUGGAAAAAUGUUGCUCCACCAGGUCCGCCAGCAUCUUGAGGUGGUACUUGGCCUUUUAGCCCUUCUUCACCAUACUGGUCAUAGAUAGCUCUCUUUUGUGGGUCACUCAAAACCUGCAAACAUGAAAGUUGGUCAUAUUUUCCUCUUAAAUUUUGACUUCCUAUAUAUGUAAAGAUCAAAUUUUCAAUUGAUGAGAUGGGCAAUCGCAUAGUUUGAAUUAAGGAGACCUAGGUGACAAGCAUGUGAUUUUGAUACAGAGUCUCAAUAAGCAAAGAGAAACCACCAAACUUGAUUGAUGAUCAUCCUAAUUAUUAAAUAAAAGCAACCCAAUUUUUCCUUUGAACUUUAAGAAUCCACAAAAUAAAUGAAUUUAUAAAAAACGAAAAAGGGAUAAGCUUACCUCAUAAGCUUCAGAGAUUUGCUUGAAUUUGGCCUCAGCUUCCUUUUUGUUAUUUGGGUUCUUAUCAGGGCGCCACUUCAUGGCAAGCUUCCUAUAAGCUUUCUUCAAAUCAUCAUCUUUUGCAUUCUUGUCAACUUGUAGAAUCUUGUAAUAAUCUACACCCAUCUUCUUCUUACUCAACCUCUGCUUUUAUCGCAGAGCUUCUUUAUUCGUUGCUGUAGCUUUGCCGCAGAAAAGAUUAUAAAAAAUGAAAAACUUGUGAGAACCUAGAAGAUAGAGUUGUGUUUGAAGGGGUUUAGUGUUUGAUUUAAGGGAAAAGAAGACGAUAUGUCUGGAAGGCAAAUGAAAAUGACGAGAAGGGUGUGGAAGUUUCCAGAUAAGCCCAAGGGGCUACACGAUUUCUCCCGAUUUUGUGUUUCUAAUUUCUAAAGCAAACAAAACUACCUCUCCCUCGCCUCAUUGAUUAGUUUUUACAGUUACAACCCCAAUAGUUGGACCUGUUCUUGGCCCUCGCCGCUCCCUCGGGUAGUAACUAUUCUUACACCCCGACAUUAAUCUUUCUAAUUUAAACAUGAUCUACUCAAAUUAAAUAUAAUUUCUAAAAUAAAAUUAUAAAAUAAUGUAAAUACUAAAUACAUAUGGUACACCAACUCAUGGUUAAUAAGAAAAUUUAAAAAAUAAAAUUUGAUCAAUGGAUAGAUUUUUUUUUUGUCAAUUAAGAAGAGAGUAAACCUUAAUAAUAACACAACUAGUACAACUUGAAUUUAAGUUACACUUAGGAUGAUGAACACCUUAACUAUCAAGCUAACACACAAAGUUCUUAAUUGAUAAAUUUUUAAAAUAAAAGCAUUUGUAAUCAUCAAUAAAUCAUAGUAACUUUUCUCUUUUUUCUUCAAGUCUUUUUUUUUUAUCCAAUGAUGGUGUCGACUUUCGAGUUAACUAUCGUCCACUUUUUUUUCCCUCACAUCAAUCCCUUUUCUUUUCAUUCACACUAUGUGUGUUUUCUCUUUUUAAUUUGCUGAUCUAUUUGUGGUAUAUUUGCUCUCUUCACAAGUUGUGUUGGACAAAUGACAAUAUUUAUUGUCAUUGAAAAUCCAUCGACUACUAACAAUUUUUCUUGAAAGGUGAGUGACUCUCCGUCAAUUUCAAAAUAAUAAAUGAUUUCACAAGUCGGUUUGAACCCAUGGUGUCUUGAAUUUUAUAUUUUUUUCGUUGUUUAAAUAGUUUUCACUUUUAGAAGCUUUUGUUUGCUCUUAUAGCACAUUUUUUCCUGUUGCUUAUGCAUAUAAUCUUACUUUUGGAAGUGAUUUUAAGGAUGGUUUUGUCAUUGUCCUUUUCUAUUUGGUGAAUGCUUGGGUAUUUUGUCGAUUUUUGUCCGUCGCUUUGGACCAUCCGGUUGAUUUCCUUAUUAUAUUAAGUGCUUAAAAUCACAAUCACUUCAAAUAUGUCGUAAAAGUAGUCAAUUGUCAAUGUGUCUAUUGAUGUUGAUGUUAAAGCUUUUGUUGUAUUGAUGGAGCUUGUCCUUAAUCAUCUAAUACCAAUGUUUAUUAUUUUUUCCUUAAUUGUAUAAUUCCAUUUAUUAAAUGAAUUAAUAAAAUUUCCUUAAAAAAAUAAACUCGAUGAUUUUUAAAUAUUUUUAUUAAAAAUUGAUUUUAUACUAAUUUUAGGGAAAACUACACAAAUAGUCACCUAACUAUAAAAAUUUUCAUUUUGGGCAUCCAAAAUAAAAAAGUUUACAAUUUAAGCACCCAUGCUAUAUAGUUCAGUAAUUUUGGUCACUCCCGUUAAAAUCACAAACGACAAGCUAACUUAAUUGUUAAAAAAUCGGUAUAAUAAUAAAUUUAGCCCUCAACUUUUACAUAUUAUAUCGAUUUAAUCAUAAUUUCAAAAAAAUUAACUCUCAAAAUUUACAAAUAUUCUCAAUUUGAUCCUAAUUCUAAAAAUUAAAAAAAAAAUAUAAAAUACAUAAGUAUUUUUUAAAAAUAUAUAAUAAUAAAUAUAUAGAAAUAGAAAAUUGAUUAUUGACAAAAAAUGAUAUAUAAAAAUUAAAAAUAUAUAAAAAUACAUAAAUAUUUUUCAAAAAAUAUAAUAAUAAAUUUAAAAUUUAUAUUAGCAUUAAUAUUAAAUAAAAAUAUUUAUAUUGAUAUUAAACAAAAUUAAAAACCCUCCCUCACCCCAUCAUUCUUCCCCACACCCUUUGUACUCCACUUCUCUCUUCAUUUUUUGUCCCUUUCCUUCGGAUCUCUUUCCAGCAGUUGAAAAACAAAUAAUUUUCAUGUUGGUUUUAUUUUUUAUUUUUUUUAUUUUCUUCUUCUUCUUCUUUUAAUCUUGAAAGGGUAAUCUUUAGUUGGAGUCAUUAGAUUCCUAUGUGUUCAACAAGUGCGAAAGGAAGGAAGGAAGAAAAUGAACUAGUGAUUGUAGAAUUCAACUAAAAGUGUUAUCUUGGGCGUUCAUUAAAUGUUUAUUGUUAAUAUUCUUGGAAUGAUGCUUCAUCUAAAGCCUGAAGCUUUGGAUGAAGACCAUCGUCUUCAAAGUCCUAUUGUCCUAAUAGUAAUACCAUUAAUGACAAGGAGAAUGAGAAUUGCAAUGGUGGUAAUAAUGAGGUUUUAUUCUACCAAUCAAUUGGUACGUCUUUAUUUAGUUUUUACUUCUUUAUUUAUGCUCAUGUAUUUUUUUUUUAGUUUUGUAAUGGUGAAUGCAAUAUGGUUGAUAGUUUUGCAGUGGAAGCUCUAUUAAUAGAUAUUUAUAAUGAAAAAGUAGUAAGGUUUGGAGCAAGUCAAUUUCACCUGGGGAUGAAUCUUGUAACUUUUGUUCUUAGUUGGAGGUAAUUUGCAAAAACUAAUUUUAUGUUCCUUAAUUUGCAGCAAAGAGAGAGAGAGGGGACGCUAGUAGAGCAAGGUUCAGGGGGAGAGGGGGAGGCGGAUUUUUAUUCUAUUUAAUAUUAAUAUAAAAUUUAAAUUUAUUAUUAUAUUUAAAAAAAUAUUUAUUUAUGUAUUACUUUUUCUUGUCAACAAUUUAAUUUUAUAUCUUUAUAUUUUUUAGAAAAAAUAUUUAUGUAUUUUUAUAAAAUUUAGAAUAAAAUUGAUAUCACUCGUAAAUUUUGAGAGUUAAUUUUUAAAAUUAUGACUAAAUUGAUAUAAUAUGUAAAAAUUGAAAGCUAAAUUUUUUAUUAUAUUAAUUUCGUUAACUGCCACGUCAACUUGCCGUUUGUGAUUUUAACAGAGUGACCAAAAUGACAAAACUAUAUAACACGGGUACUUAAGUUAUAACCUUUUUACUUUGAGUGCUUAAAAUAAAUUAUUGAUAAUUAAGUGACUAUAUGUAAUUUGCCCUUAUUUCUAAACACCAAAUUAAUCAUUUUUUUUAUCAUAGAAGAAGAAACACAUAAAUAAAAUAGUUACAAUUUUUGGUGUCAUAACACCAAUAAUAUCAGCACCAAGUUGAUCAGUAAGAUAACAAUAGAAAACACUUUGCAGUGUUUGUCUCCAAUCCAUCGAUUCUAGGCCAUCAGCAAGUUUAUUACCCUCCCUGUAAAUAUGUUGGAUAACCACAUCCCAUUCCUUCAAAUAGUCCCAAGCUUUUCGAAUGAAAUUGAUCUCCCCAUCUUUAGCAUUGUUGGUUAGUACGUUAAUAACAUCAAUGCUGUCCACUUCGAGAAUCAGUCGGUGUUGUCCACUCUUCCAAGCAAGCAUUAGUCUUCAACCAUACCCCACAUCUCUGCUUCCCGUAUUGAACAUGAGCCAAUGAGUUUAGAAAACCCAACAACCCAUUCUCUCUUCCAAUUCCGUAUAACACCCUCACAAGCAGACACACCAGUAAAGGACUUAUGAGCACCAUCAAUAUUCAACUUGUACCAUCCCAAAUCAGGUUUCCUCCAGUUAGCUGACUUCACAUUCCUCGAGCGACUGCUUAUGAUACUAUUAUCAGUAUACUCCAUCACACCAAUACAUUGUUGCUGCAGUCGCAAACUCCUUUCUGAUACCAAUUCAAGCUCUACAAAAUUACCAUAAAAAGUGAAUCUAGUCAUAUACUUCCAUAGGUUCCAACAUAAUACUCCAAAGAGAAUAUUCCAACUAGCACUAUCUCGAGCAAAGUAACUGAGAUUAGAAAGAUUCCGGUUCACCUAUUCAGGAAUCUGCAUAGUUAUGAAUUCAACAAGUUUCUUCUCCCAAACCAACCAUUUCCAAAUUACUGAAGCCACGAUAUAUCCACGAAGCACAUGGUCUAAAGUUUGAUAGAUGGGUCAACAACACGCUUCUUGUAUUGAUACCGAAGGUAAAGAGUCCAAAAAUUGCCCAUCAACUAAGGCCUAUUAGUUUGUGCACAGUUCUGCACAAGAUAAUUACAAAGGUGAUUGUGAAUUGAUUGAAAUUGUUUAUGUUGAAAUGGGUGUUACCAAACCAAGUGAGUUUUGUGCCGGACAGGAACAUUAUAGAUAAUAUUAUUAUUGCUCAGGAAAUUAUACACUCAAUGAUGAGUAAGUUUGGGAAGAGAGGAUGGUUAGUGAUAAAAGUUGACUUAGAAAAAGCCUAUGACGAGUUAGAGUGGAGAUUCAUUGAGGAUACUUUACUCAAUAUUAGGAUUCCGACCAAGUUGAGAACUGUCAUUAUGCAUUGUGCUAGCUUGGUCUCAACUUGGGUGGUAUGGAAUGGGAAGGUGACGGAUUCUUUUGUUCUGUCUCGAGGUUUUCGACAAGGUGAUUUGUUAUCCCCUUACCUUUUUGUUUUAUGUAUGGAAAGGCUAGCUUAAACUAUUUGUAAAUCAAUGGAUUUAGGUCUGUGGAAAUUAAUUUUUUUUACUAGAAAUAGCACGAGCAUCUGAUAUUUAUUGUUUGCAAAUGAUCUCAUUUUGUUUGUUAAGGCCUCAAUGGAACAAAUGAGUAUUAUUUAUCAAAUUAUCAAUGAUUUUUGUGCUUGCUCGGGCCAUAGAGUGAGUGUGCAAAAGACUGAAAUUUAUUUCUCAAAGAAUGUUGAAGAUGACCUCAAACAACAAUUGAGUGAUAUGGUUUUGCACGAGUGAAUGAUCUUGGAAAGUAUUUGGGUGUCCCAUUACUUCACCAAAAGGUGUUUAAAGGAAUGUAUCAAUAUAUUAUUCAAAAAUUAUAGUAGAAGUUAUCAGGGUGGAAAGCCAAGACUUUCUCUUUAGCUGGAUGCAUCACCUUGGUUAAACCAAUCUUGUCAGCUUUACCGAUGUACACCAUACAAUUAACACGGUUACUAAAGGGUAUUUGUAAGGAGUUGGAGAGGAUAAUACAUCAAUUCACUUGAGACAAUCUACCAAAUAAAAAAGGAAUUAAUUUAGUUAAGUGGGAGCAGGUUUGCAUGCCUACAUCGGGAAGAGGGCUUGGCAUAAAAUGUACCCAAAACAAAAUGAAGCUUUUCUUAUGAAAAUUGGGUUCUAGGUGAUGACACAUGGGGACAAGUUGUGGGUGUAAGUCCUGUGUAUGAAAUAUAGAUGGAACAAAAUUUUGCAACUUUUUAUCAAGCGAAAUAAUUGCUCAAGACUUUGGAAAGGAAUAGGCCAAGUACGGGAGAUGAUUCAUCAAAGAAUGGUUUGGAAUAUUGGAAAUGGUGAAAAUUUUGAUUUUUGAAGGGAUGCAUGGAUGGUUGACAUUAGGCCACUGAUUGAUUAAUUAAGUUGAUAAGAAGAAUAGUGGCAGAAUCAUACAUGGGUCAGUGGUUUCAAUGGUUACACCAAAUGGUGAUUGAAAUUGGAGUUUAUUGAAAGAUGUUUUACCAUACAAUAUUUUGCUUAAAUUAGCAAUAAUGCUUUCGUCGGACAAGGAGUGUAACACCCCCUACCUGUAUCUAUUGCCGGAAUAGGGUACGAGGCAUUACCGGAGUUUACUGAACAUUUUCAGAUAAUUCUGAGUCAUUUAUUAUUCAUAUUUUGAAAAUAAUUAUAACAUCUCUCUAUUGGGCCCUCGAAGCCCCAAACAUACAUUAGAAACCAACCGGAAUUAAAUCGGGAUCAUAGAAAAAGAUUUCGCAAAAUCUUAAAUUUUAUUUUCAUCUAAGUACUUACUAUUUCAAUGCUCCUUAUAAUUAAACAUGUUACCAUUCAAUCAAUAGCUUGGCACUUGUCUAAGCGUCAAACAACAUCAUUGUUAGUAUACUUGCACAUAUUUCAUCUAAAUUCAACAUUGAUAUACUUAUUUUCUCGACAUAUCGCACUUGAGUUUAAUAAUCGUCUCAACUUACAUAAUUUCCUUGUAUCAACAUAUCAAAGAUAAUCAUAUAUGUACAUGUCAUGAAACAUAUCAUGCUCUUACCGUUUCUUCAUAAGCAUAUAUCAUUCAUUUCAUUAUAUCAAUAUUUCAUGCUCCAUCAUUUCCAUAUAUUUUAUGUAUAUUUAUUCCGGUAAUAGUUCAUAUCAAACUUAACAUAAAUUAUAUUCCAUGUACUUAUACUUAUUUCGUUUAUCUAUCUUCAUAAUUAUUUCAUACAACUAUUUUGUACAUAUAUUUCCAUAUGACCAGUUCUUGUAAACAUUUCACACAACCAUUUCAUAUAACCAUUCGUCAUCUGAUACGUAUUACCUGAAUAUCAAUUGUUCAAUAGAUGCCAUAGCGUCUCCCAUCCACGGUCUUAUUUAUCUUUGACAUAAUGCCAUAGUGUCUUUCAACUAUGGUCUUACUCAUUUUCUGUCAUGUUGCCAUGGUAUCUUUCAACCAUGGUCUUAUUCUUUUCAUGUCACGUUGCCAUGGUAUCUUUCAACCAUGGUCUUAUUCAUUUCAUAUCACGUUGCCAUCGUAUCUUUCAACCAUGGUCUUACACAUUUCAUAUCAGGUUGCCAUGGUAUCUUUCAACCAUGGUCUUACACAUUUCAUAUCAGAGAGCACACUCCUGCGAACCUCAUCCUUAUAGUGGGAUUACCAGUCCAAGCUAAAUCCCCUGUAAUAUAAACUCAUAGAGUAUUGUCGGGAUUACCAGUCCAGCCUAAUUUCAGACCCUAAUUCGGAUUACCCGUCCGGGCUAAAUCCAUUUUACACGUAUUCUUCGGGAGGGCUAUAUCAGAAUAGGAUCACUCGUCCGGGCUAGAUCCUUUUUACUGUCAAUUCCUUUUCAGAGAUCCAUCGAAUUUUCCUUUCAUUCAACUGGGAUUUAUUUUCAAUUUAUAUCGAGUAUUAGCAAUAUUUCAUCAAUUAUCAUGAAUUGAACAUUCAAAUCAUAUUUUUAUCACAUAACCACAUUUUUCAAGUAUUUAAAAUACAAUUCAGGUUACAUAAACUUACCUCAUUACUUGUUUGUGUUUAUAAUUUCAUUAAUCCGAUAUCUUUUCUUUUCCACGAUCAAGUCUCAUAUUUGAGUUGUCCGGAUCUUUAUAAAUAAAUUUGAUCAUCAUUUUCAUUCAUUUCAUAUUCUAAUGCAUUUAAUUAAUGCUCUAGGAAAAAUUAUCAUUUUGCCCCUAAACUUUUAAUUAAUGACGAUUUCAUCCUUAAGGUCAGGAAAAUAAAAUUCUUGCAAUUUAAUCCUUAUUUCCAGCUACUAUUCUCAUACAUAUUGAUAACAAUCCAUGAAUUCUAUAAAAUAUCAAAAUUUACAAUAAUUUCAAAACUUUUCAAUUUAAUCCCUAAAACAUGUUUUCCCCUAUCUUGAAUUAAAUUAAUAAUUUCAUUCAAUUUUAUAAUUUAAAUAAUAAAAUUAAUCCAUUUCACGUAAUUUGAUCAUUUCUAAAAUUUUUACAAAAUUACCCAUAAAGUUUUACUUUUAUUCAAUUUAGUCCCUAAGCCUAAAAUAUGCAAAUUAGCCAUGCUAAAUGAAUAUUCAUAUAUGUUUUCCUCCUCCUCCACUCCAUUCCACAUCCUUAAUGUAUAUAACACACUUGUAAGUAACAUUAUCUAUAUUUUUUUAUUAUUUACUUUUAUGAAUAUUCAAGCUGUCCAUCUAUGUCAUAGUCACUAAAUUAUUCAUAUCUGGAGAUAUAGAACUCCAAAUUAAGAUCCAAUAAUUUUCCCUGAAACUAGACUAAUGUAUCUUAUUACCAUAAAAUUUUCAGAAUUUUUGGUUUAGCCAAUAAGUACACCUGUUCUGCUGUCUGAUAGUUCUGACCCUUCUUUACUAAAAAUUAAUUAUCUCCUCGUACAGAAUUCAAAUGAUGUUUUCGUUUGUUUCUAUUGAAAAUAGACUCAUUUAGGAUUCUAACCAUAUAAAUUUAAGCUCAUAAUUAUUUUUUUCCAAUUUUUUAUGAUUUUCCAAAUUCAAAACAGGGGAACCCGAAAUCAUUCUGACCUUAUCUCACAAAAUUUAUUAUAUCUCAUGAUUUACAAUUCCAUUUCUUACAUAAUUUCUUCUAUAAGAAACUAGACUUAAUAAGAUUUAAUUUCAUAUUUUAUUCAUCCUAUAAUUAGAUUUCUACAAUUUUUGAUGAUUUUUCAAAGUUAGACUACUGCUGUUGUCCAAAACUAUUUUAGUACAAGAUAUUAAUUACCAUGUUAUAACACCCUUAUUUUCUUUUUCUACACCAUUUCUCAUCACUUUCUCUUAUUUUAUCUUCACUAACAUAUCAAGAACAUAGGAUCUUAUGUAAGAAAACUCUACUAUAACAUUAUUUCCAUGCUUUGUCAAUAAUAACAAACUUAAAAACAUAUUGAAAUCUUGAUAUACUUACCUUGUUCUAUUGAUACUAAUCUUUAACUUGAUUUUCUCUUUCCUCCAGCUUCUAUUUCUUGAAUUCAACUUGAUAUUUUAACUCCCCAUGGUCUCCUUAACAUUUUUCUCUCUUGGUAGCUAUGGAAAUUCUUUUGAUUUUUGGGUGAAAAUGGUGAAUUUUUGGUAAAAGGACCAAAUUGUAAAAAAGUAAAAUUUUCUUUCUUUCUCUCUUUCUCUCACGUUAGUGCAUGAGAAAUAUGGAUGAGAAUUUCUUAUCUUUCUUUCUUUAUAUACUAAUAAAAUAAUAAUAAAAUAUAUUAUUAAAAUAUUAAUAAAAUAAUAUUUAUCUAAUUAAAAAAUUAUAAAAUAUCAAAAUGUCUCUAGCAUCAUUAUUACUUUCUAGAUUUCUCUCUCUUCAAAUUGACCAUUUUGCCCUUCAUUAUCUUUUAAAAUUCCAUCCUUGAGUCAUCAUUUAAUUUGGUAAAAUUGUAGUUUAGUCCCUCAUAGUUAUUCAUCUAUUCAAUUUGGUCCUAAUUCAUCCAUUUUCCUUAGUUUCUAGAUCAUUCCACCCUUAAAAUGUUUACACUAUUGGUCCUUCAAAUUUUUCAUAUUUACACUUUAACCCCUCAAAUUUUGAGUAUUUACUCUUGUGCAAUAAAACUUUUCUCACUUUUACAAUUUAGUCCUUUCUUGAAUUAAUAUAUUAUAAUAUACUUCCCAAUAUUGACAUAACUCAAAAUUUCUCUUUUUGUCACUUUAUUUCCUUAUUUUACUAUAUCACGGAUAAUAUUUUACUGUAAAAAUUUUCGGAAUAUUACAAGAAGGGCAAUGUGGAUUCUUUGGCUUGGAGAUAGGAUGCUAAUAGGAGAUUCACUGUGAAAUCGACCUACUUAGUGGCGUCAAAUAAUUUAAUGGAGGAGUGUAAGAAUGGUGGAAACCAGUAUAGCAUUUUAGAGGACCCUAAAGAAUUUGAAUUUUCCUAUGAUUAAUGUGCUUGGAUAAUUUGUUAAUAAAAAAUGAAAGGAAAAGAAGGCAUAUAUGACCAUCGAGGUGCGAAGUGUGCAGAAUCAAUUUAUUUUCUAAUAUAAUAUUAGAUAUAGAUGCUAUAUCUAUAAAAGAAAUUAUAUAUUUAAUUUUAUGUUCAUAUCAAAAAUAAAAAUGAUAAAAACAUAGGCCUAAACAUCAAUAUAUAAUAAAUUAUAAAACAAUUUACUACAUUUAUUAUUAGUAUUUAACAACAAUUAAGGUAAAAAGAAAUUCAUUAAUCUCUCAUAGUAAUAGCAUCGUUGAAUUCAGUGCGUCGUGAUUAUGGGCCAAAUCCAUCUAUCUUGGAUUGGAUUACCCCCCUCCCCCAACACACAUCACCAAAAUUUGUUGGAAAAAGAUAAAAUGAAAAGUGGGCAUGCAGUGCACGUGAUAUUUCCACACCUGCGACAGUCUGGCUGAAGAACGAGUUAAAAUGUUAAAUUUGCUAACGUGGCGUAUAUUUAAACUAGAUCUCACGGUUAUCAACUCACCUCGUUUUCGCUUCCUGCCAUUUUUACUACGUUUUCACGAAUCUCUAAUUUUAACUAAUUUUCCUCCAUCUUCUUCAAUGAUUAUGUAAAAGCCUGCAAAAUCUCAGUUGUCCAGUACAAUGGCUACCCUCUCCUUUUCUUCCCUCAAACCAAACACGUUAUUUUCUUCUUUUCUCUUCCCUUCUAAAAACAUAUCUUCCCGCCCAAUUAUCUAUACCCUUCCUCAUCGGAACACUCCUCCACUCACUUUCUCUGCUGCCAAACGCCCUCCCGCCGCAUCCGCAACCAAUUCAUCCUCUUCCGUUACCGUCGAAACCGUCUCUCCUGAAAAUGACGAUAACUCAACCGUUUUCGUCAUCCGUGCGCGUAACCGUACCGGUCUCCUCCAAGUUAUCACGCGCGUCUUCAAUAUCCUCGGUCUAAGCGUCGAGAAGGCCACCGUAGAUUUUGAAGAAGACUAUUUUGUCAUGACGUUCUUCGUAACUGAUUCCCGCGGCAACAAGAUCGAUGAUCAGAAGAGCUUGGAAAGUAUCAACAAGGCCUUGAUCGACGCAAUCGACGGUGACGAUGAUGCCGCCUUGUCUGUGGCUCCGUCAGAUAGAGGGGUCGUGGUUAGGAGCUCGGUUGGAUUUUGGGGAGAGGAAAGGCCAAGCUGAGAGGAUGCUUGGAUUGAUGGAUGUUUUCUUGAAGAACGACCCGAUUAGCUUACAAAAGGAUAUUUUACAUCACGUUGAGUACACGGUGGCUCGAUCGCGAUUUAGUUUCGAUGAUUUUGAAGCUUAUCAAGUAAGAUAAAGUUUCGUUGUUGGGUUGAGAAUGAAUUUUGACUUUCUUUUUAAAAAUUUGGCGGGAAUGUAUAGUAUAACUUAAGUGCGAUUGUUUAACAGGCUUUGGCGCACAGUGUAAGAGAUCGGUUGAUUGAACGUUGGCAUGAUACUCUGAUACAUUUCAAGAAGGAAGACCCAAAGCGAGUUUACUUUCUUUCGCUUGAGUUUCUUAUGGGUAUACUUCUUACCUUUAUGAGCCUUAUAAUGUUUACUCUAAUUAAAAUGAUGGAUAAGUUUAAGAGCUCUCGAGAAGUUUGGUUAUGCUUUCUAUUACUCUCCUAGCACCUAUAGUUUAUCAAAUCUAGAGGAUCAGACUUCGGUUUCUAUUACAAGUAGAACUAGUUUUUGAAUUCACAUGUUAUUCUGGAUUUUCUUCAGUGCUUUAAAUAUCAUUCAUGCUAAACAACUAUUUGCAAUUUAUAUUUUCAGGGCGUUCGUUGUCAAAUAUUGUCAUCAACCUUGGAAUUCGCGACCAAUUUGCAGAUGCUUUAAGCCAGCUUGGUUUUGAUUUUGAAGUUUUAGCUGAACAGGUUAACUUGACAUUUGAUUUUCUUCUGUACUCCUUUAUUGUCCUAAUCUUAGAUUAUUAUUACUAGCAUAUCACGAUCAGGAAAAGUAAUUGUUUGUUUGCGAGGAGAAUUGAAUACAUCAAGUAUAUUUAUUGGAGAUCAUGUUGUGUGGUAGUCGGAGAUUUGAAUCUAGGUGAAUCCAAUGGAUGGCCAUAUUCUUGGGAGCCUAGAGCCAAAAAACUGUAUGAUGUUAAGGUGUGCUCAUCCUUUCGAAACAGUCUCUCCUUGGAAUUAGAGCUCAAGGGAGAUCUCUGUUUGAACAAGUUAAAAACUGAAUUCUUAAUCAUGUUGGAAGAAAGCUUUUCUUAUAUAUAUACAUUGUACACUCAGAUAAUUAUUUACUUUCCUCUUUAUCUUAUUCAUUAUGAUAUUCUAAGGAAAUGCUUGCCUGGGUAAUGGAGGCCUUGCUCGUCUUUCAGCAUGUCAAAUGGAUUCUCUAGCAACUUUGGACUACCCUGCAGUGGGGUAUGCCUCUAUUGUAUAUUUUUCUUGUAAGAUUUGUGGAAGCAUUUCAAGUUAAAAGUAAUACAUAUAAGUCUUCCAUUAAGUAGGGGUACUGAAUCAUUAUCCAUACUGGCUUUGAAACCAAAAGGAUUAUGGGCCGUGAAGCUGACUUGCUUAUCUUCUAAUUAGUAUCAGCUUAUUUAUAAUCUAUGCUAGUUUUCCUUUUUCAAUAUCAUUUAGCGAAUUCUUGCAUCAAAAUCAUGUCAUUUAGUUCAUGCAUAACUUGUAUAUCCUCAAACGAGAAUUGGCUUUUAUGUUUAAUAAUCUAAUUCUAGGGGAUUGUUUCUGCAGCUAUGGAUUACGCUACCAGUAUGGGUUGUUCCGUCAAGUUAUAGUGGAUGGAUUUCAACAUGAACAGCCUGAUUAUUGGUUAAAUUUUGGAAACCUUUGGGACAUUGAGCGGAUUCACAUAACAUAUCCUGUAAAGGUUUGUAAGCACUUAGAUGUGUUCAAUUAUCUGUGGGAAUAUUGGAUGUUUGACUUUAUCUUUCUAUUCUUUUGCAAUUCUGUAUUGUUUACUAAACUUCUGUUCACUAUGAUUUUGGAUGGUAAAGUUCUAUGGGACAGUCACAGAUGAAUUUUUGAAUGGAGAGAAAUGUAAAGUUUGGGUUCCUGGAGAAAUGGUAAGGCUGUAAUUCUUUUCAUAAAUUGAAGCCUAGACAUUUGCAUAAAAUUCUUUACCCAUUAGUUAUACUCAUGGGCGAUGCAUGAUUUAAAUGAGUGCUAAAUUUAAGUGAAUGUGGUUGGCGUUUUUUUAGCUUAGCAAUAUCUUCAUGUUCAUAGGUUGAAGCUGUGGCAUAUGACAAUCCAAUACCUGGUUAUGGAACAAGGAAUACCAUUAAUCUUCGCCUUUGGGCUGCGAAACCAAGUGAUCAACAUGAUAUGGUAAUUUUGACAAAUCCAAUCAGUUAUGCAUGAGUUCUAUGUACACUUAGGUGGAUUAAACUAAAGUAUGAAGAUCUGGCACAUAAAACUAAUUCUUAUGAUCUAGAUUCGCUAGAAAUGCUAUAGUUGGACUGAGCUAACAAUGCUGAUUUGGUAGCUUAAAACAUAGUCAUAAAUGCAAUCAUGUGUUUUUUUUCUUUACGGAUCUCUUCUAUAUCCUACCCAGCAAGCUCUGCUUAGACAGCGAGGGAUUUGGAAAUCUUUUUGAAUAAUUUCUUUCAAUUGUUUUGGCUUAAUUGUUUUGAAACAUGCUUAAUCCAACUGAAGUGAUAUCAGUUAUUUUCUGUUUCAAUGUGCUCAUUUCUUUUAUCUUUCUCUUCUUUUUUUUUAUUUCACUAUUUGCAUUUCGGAGAAUUAUAUUUUGGCUAGAGCUUAUAUUAGUAAGGUUAGCAUCUAUCCUGUCUUGUAUAGUCUUUGAGGCAGGUAUUUGAUGUCGGUUCUAGAAAGAUUUCUUAAUUAGUAAGAAUUUUGUAUAUUUCAGAUAUUUUGUUACUUUUAUUUUUAGAGAUUGUAAUUUUCUGUAGGUGUUAUUUUGGAAAAUUCUUUAAGAUUUUGAUUUUUGGUUUUUUAUGAUAUUUAUUGCCAUACAUGCUUAUGGAUUCUUGUUAGUAUGCGACCUUGUUAUGUCUUAAAUUCUUGGGUUUGGAGCAUGGCAAUGCAGGAGUCUUUUAACACUGGGGAUUAUGUUGAUGCUGUAGUCAAUAGACAGAGGGCUGAAAGUAUUAGUAGCAUACUAUACCCCGACGAUCGUUCUUAUCAGGUGUGAUUGUUACAUCAAGAUUAUAGUCUGCCUCAUCAAUUUUUUCAUGCUUCAUCUUCUAAAGUUUUUACUGCAAUUGUUUGAUUUAUGGGAAAUUAAAGGUACUUAGUCGGAGAUUAUUAAUGUUGCAUUCACUGAAAACUUGGUUGAAAUGUUUGCUAGGGGUUGAACAAAUAUGUUUCUUUGUCUUUCUUUAGAUCUACAUUCAUAUUUCUUUUUGGUGGUUUCUUUCAGGGCAAAGAAUUGCGGUUGAAACAGCAGUAUUUCUUUGUAUCCGCAUCAGUACAAGACAUCUUCAGAAGAUUCAAAGACACUCAUAAAAAAUUUGACGAGUUUCCAGAGAAGGUUCUUAGCUGCAUGUUUCAUGUGUCUAUUAGUGCAUAAGCAUAUGUAGAGACCCCUCGAAUGGGAUUAGUUUGUACUGAUCUGAUCAUGUAGUGAGGUGACAUGGCUUGGUUCUACCUCCUGAAUCUUGUGUAACAUAGCUGUUCUCAAGGUUCUCUCAGGUUCUCAAUGUCACAUCCUUAACAAUUGAUUUGCUUUCAGAUGAUGGCAGUAGUGAGAGUUGAGUGAGGAAUCUUUCUCUUUACUGAGAAGAUUUUCGUUCCACUUUUAUUAUCAUCCCUAGGUUGAGUGCUGACUGCUGCUUGACUCGUGUUCUGUCAACUCCAAUUGCAUUUUAUAUAGGUUGCACUGCAGCUGAAUGACACUCAUCCAUCUCUUGCAAUAGCUGAGGUGAUGAGAGUGCUUCUGGAUGAAGAGCAUUUAAGCUGGCAUAGAGCAUGGGACAUCAUAUGCAAAAUAUUUUCGUUCACAACUCAUACUGUGUCACCUGAAGGACUGGAGAAAAUUCCUGUGGAUCUACUGGGCAACCUUCUCCCUCGACAUUUGCAGGUGUGUUUUGUUUGAAUUUUGCAAUGUACUUUCUGCUUUGAUAAAGUUUACCCGUUUCUUUGAAUUACUUUAUGUGAUUGAAAGCCUAAGUAAUUCUACUGGACAAGCUUCAUCUUACAAUAUUCUUUCAUUUAUAUCUGAUGUCAUAUGGUUUAAGCUUCAUCUUAAUAAUUUUCUUAACUACAGCAUCGUGCCUCCAAGGUACAGAAGCAUGCAUGUGGUUAAUUAUUAUUUUCCACGUAACUCUUUCCUGUAUUACCACACUCCUUUAGAUUGUAAUUUAUUAGUUUGAUUGGUUGUCAACUUGUUUCCUAAUAUUUUAGAAAAUUGCUCUUUUCAGAUUAUAUAUGACAUAAACUUCAACUUUGUGGAAGAGUUAAAGAAGAUGAUUGGUUUAGAUUAUGAUCGGCUGACCAGGAUGUCAAUUGUUGAGGAAGGUGCUGUGAAGGUAUAUAUCUCAAAUUUUAUGGGUUUCUAAAAUUUAUGUUGUGUUGAUGGAUUGCUAGAAUGUUAUGAAAAUUGAAGUUCAUAACCAUCCCUUUUGUCAGAAUAUUCGAAUGGCAAAUCUAUCAGUUAUUUGUUCUCAUACCGUGAAUGGUGUGUCCAGAUUACAUUCAGAGUUGUUGAGAACAAAAUUAUUCAAGGUAAAACUUAUAUUUGUUUUUUCCUGCUUAAACGUUGCCUUUCCUUGUAACAAGUUUGAAAUAGAACCCAGCUACGAUGAAUGUCUUUAAUUAGUUUAUCUUAAUUGUUGUCCAUUAAUGCUUUUCAGGACUUUUAUGACCUAUGGCCGCACAAGUUUCAAUACAAGACUAAUGGGGUGACACAGGUUUAAAAUAAGUUACAGUUUUUUCAGUACAUUAACUUACUGAUAGGUUAAGUUGUUUGCUACCUGUAAAUAAAUUUUAGGCUUGUUACUGUGAUGCUGUGAUGCAUCUUGCCCUGAUAACUAAAAGUACGCGAAUAAUUUAAAUUCACCCGCUGUGUAGUUAUUUUGAUCUCUUAAUAUUUGGUUUCUCAGCGUCGCUGGAUUGUUGUUAGCAAUCCUAGUUUAUGCGCUCUUAUCUCAAAAUGGCUUGGAACAGAAGCUUGGAUCCGUGAUAUUGACCUUUUAAUAGGCUUGAGAGAUUAUGCAACUAAUGCUGAAUUGCAUCAAGAAUGGAAGAUGGUACUUUCAUAGUUGGCAUGCUUCACCUUUGAAACAAAACAUAUCAUUGGCUAACUCAUUCAUUUAUUGUUAACUAUUAUCUCAUAGGUUAAGAAGGUCAACAAAAUAAGGCUUGCCGAGUACAUUGAAGUGAUGAGUGGUUUGAAGGUUUUGAAGAAAGCUAUAGUUUUUGCACCUACAUUUCUUUUUCCAUUUUUAAGGAGCUCUGAAAUGAUGUAAUGUUGGUGCAUUAUUUGUAACGGGCAGGUCAGCUUGGAUGCAAUGUUUGAUGUGCAGACAAAGCGAAUACAUGAAUAUAAGCGGCAGUUGCUUAAUAUACUUGGCAUUAUCCAUAGAUAUGAUUGCAUCAAGGUUAACACCAUCUUUGGCUGAAAGAGCCAUGAAAACUUGUGGAAUUUAUCAAAUGCUUCUUUUUAUAUGUGCCUUUUUGAAUUGUCCUUGUAGCAAACUAACAACAUAGGUUUAAGUUAUUACCAUCCUGUUGCUGGAUGUUUGCAAGACCAACAAUUCCUUACUCAUUGUAAUAUGAGUUGAUUAACCAUUUCCUUAACCAUCAUCUUUUUGGCUUUGCAUAAAGAUGUUUAAGUAUUAAAAAUUGUGCAUAUUUUCGAACUUUGUAAAAUAAGUUAAAAGAAUGUGUAACUCAGAGGUAUCUUUGCUCAUGCUAUUCUCAUUUGGUGCAGAAUAUGGACAAGAAUGAUAGGAAAAAAGUUGUACCACGGGUCUGCAUAAUUGGAGGAAAAGCUGCUCCAGGAUAUGAAAUUGCAAAGAAGGUUAUAAAACUCUGUCAUGCUGUGGCUGAAAAGAUCAACAAUGAUAAUGAUAUUGGAGAUCUUUUAAAGUUGGUAAGCUAGUAUUUAUUUUAUCUAGAAGUUCAAUGGAACUCUGAAGCGUGUAUUGUUUACUAAGAAGGGUGAGUAAUUUACCCUUAAAACAGAUAUAAUCAGCAACCAUGAUGAUGAAUUAAAGCUGCAAGGACCUUUAUAUUUGUCUUCUAAUAACAUAUCUGUCUUUCUAAGUCAUUAAGUACUAUUGCAGGUCUUUAUCCCUGAUUACAACGUUUCUGUUGCUGAGAUGGUAAUACCAGGGGCUGACCUUUCUCAACAUCUAAGGUAGUAUGCAUAAGUUUUGCACAUUAGAUGAUAUUAUUAAUUUCGUUAGCAGUUACAUUAUGUUUUGUAGUGAUUGCUGAUUGUGAUUUUUCUUUGUGUUUUUAUGUGGUCAACUAUUGGCUUCACUUAUAUAGAUAGAUCUAUUUGUCACUCUAAAGUUGUAUACCUCCAUUUUACCAUUUAUUUGGGUCGAAAUAUUUUGGAAUCUUUUAGUAUUAAUUGUCAUUAAGCUUACGUAUGAGCAGUUCAGAAUCACUAGGUUGAUGGAAUAAUAUAAUAUAAUAUCCAAGUGAUUAGUUGGGGCAGAAUUAGUCUCUCCACCUUCUGAGCCCCUUUUUCCAGAAUUAAAAAAAAAAAAAAUCCUCCUUCCACUCAACUUGUCUACUUCUGAUGUAUACUAUUUUUAUUUUCUGGUCCAGCACUGCAGGACAUGAGGCAUCAGGAACUGGCAGCAUGAAAUUCUUGAUGAACGGAUGUUUACUUUUAGCCACAGCAGACGGUUCUACAAUUGAAAUGGUUGAAGAAAUAGGUCAGGAUAACGUGGUAAGUGCUAAAUCAACAGUCAUACAAAUGAAUCAAGGUAAAAGUACCAUAAAGUCCUCUAUAUUAGGAGUCAGAUUGCAUUUUACCUCCUCUACUCAAGAAAUAAGCAAAUUAGUCACUAUACAUUAGAUCAAAGAGCAAACUGGUCCUUCUAUAAAAAAUUUCAUCCAUUUCUGCUUUUAAAAGUUGGUCUCUUUACGUUAACAUGAGGUACACGAGGCACGUCAUAUGUCACUGUCUAGUUAUUUCGUCAAUCAUGCCAGUUUUUAAUAAUACAAAAGAAUAAAAUUUUUAAUAGAAAGUACCAAUUUACUGUUUAAUCUAAUGUACAGGGGCUGGUAGAGCCUCCAUGGUAUUUUUAUAAUGAAUUAACAAUAUUAGUAGGAGUAGAUUUCUGAUAACAUUUCUUUCAGUUCCUGUUUGGAGCAAAAGCGCAUGAAGUUGUUGCGUUGCGCAAGAAAGGACCCACUCUUAAAGUUCCUCUUCAGUUUUCGCGUGUUGUAAGGUAUUAUACCCCUUCAUUCUACGUAAUGUAUAGCUUUAUCAGUACGUUUAUGUAUCCUUGCUUUUCUUAUACAGAGGUUGAGUUGAUUUAGAUAUUCUUGGUUUAAAUUUCAAGUGAUUUGAGUGGCAUUGUGUAACUAUUAUAUGUAGGAUGAUCCGAGACGGUCAUUUCGGGUUUGAAGACUAUUUCAAAUCUUUGUGCGACAAGAUAGAGGGCACGAGUGACUAUUUUCUUCUUGGUGCCGAUUUUAUGAGCUAUCUAGAGGCCCAGGUAAAUAGUUGGUUUUCCAUCAGUUAGAAAUAAGAAUACCUUGUAAAAGGGAAUUGCAUUUUAAUUGUGGACUGUGUUGAGAUGAACAGGCAGCGGCUGAUAAAGCGUUCGUUGAUGAAGAGAGAUGGACAAAAAUGAGUAUACUUGGUGCAGCUGGCUCUGGGAGAUUUAGCAGUGAUAGGACAAUCCAAGAGUAUGCUGAAAACACUUGGGACAUUCAACCUUGCAGAUGUCCCUUUUGAUUUGGAAAGUGAGAGCUACUCGAAAUAGAAUGAAGCUCUCGCAAUGUCAUGUGCGGGGCUUUUUUAUUUAAUAAUAAAAUAAAACGAAUUGAAUCGAAUAAAAUUACAAUGAAUAAUAACAAUGUUUCUAAAAUUAAUAAUAGAAAAUAAUCAAAGCAGAAACAAAAUUAAUAAUAGAAAAUAAUCAAAGCAUUCAAAAAUAUUUGAGUUGGAGCUUGAGAUAAAUAUUGUUGUUGAUAGGACGUUAUAAAUGUUUAUUUAAAAAAAUUCAGACGGAAACAUAUUGCAAACUUUUUUGCCCAUUUCAAACAAUUUUGAUUUUGGACGAAUUAUAAUAAUAUCUUCUCUUUUCCUUUACCAAAAAGAUAUAUCUUGUCUUUUUCGUAAAUAGAAAUAACUUUAUUCAACUGAUUUUUGUUUGGUUGUUCAUACUUCAUGAAAUAACAAUUUCCUCCUGGAUUCUACAAGCUUCGAUUACCCGCCACUAUUUCUGUUUACUUCUUCCGAGAAGAAAAAGGGAGAAAAGAUAAAAAUAAAAAUAAAAAGGGUUGUUUAGAAGAGGCAGUAAUGGCGGUUAAUAUGAUUCUCCUUCCCUCCAUUUUCAGUUUUUUCUUCUUCGUCUUCUUCUUCUUCUUCUUGUCACUCGCAUCUCAAGAUGAACAAAGUAACAACCACAAUCUCUUGAUCCUUGAAUUGCGCGACGCCAAGCUCAAGAUCUCUCGUUUGGGUAAAAUUUCUUUUUUAUUUCUUUACUGAUAAAUAUAUACCUUACUUAGAGUUUCCAAACAAACACUGAUCUUAACCUCGAUUCCUUGAUUGUUGUAAAAUAUGGAUGCAGAAUCUGUUCUUGAAGAAAGAAUUCAAGACCUUAAUGCUAAAACCCUUUCUCUUAAGGAACACCCGAAAUCCCUCGAGGACAUGGCAAACAAGAGCACUUAUCUGCAGUCUGCUCUAUCUGAUCUUAAGGUUCAAUUCUUUCCUAAGAAGCUUUGCUUUUGUUUUUAGCUUUGUUUUCAUUUGUAUGUUACUCGGGUUUAUUUGGAUUGAAUGCCUUCUCCCUAUUGUUGUCUCAAAAUGAAAAAAAAGGUGGGGGGUGCUUUUGAAAGCAGAAAAUUGAAUAUUGGUAGGGUUUAUUCACUUAGUAAUCUUGUUCCAAAAUUACAUAGCAUAUUGACAUGUAAUUUUGCAAUUUCUAAAUGUAGAUAUCAAAUUGACAUGUUAUUUUGCAAUUUCUAAAUUGUAGGAUCAUUCGUUUCUUGCUGAUGAAAAGCUUAACGCUCAAGAAGAGGAGGUUCGUUUUAAAUGCUUCUAUAAAUAUAAUCGCUCUUUCAAUUUUUUUUUCGUCCUAUUUGAUUCCUUGUCAUGUUUGUAAGGGUGAGUGGCAAGAAAUAUUUGCUUUUGUGCAAUUCAACUGACUUUAGUACCAGGCUUCAUGAUCCUAGGUACACGGCCUUUGGGCUGUUUCGAGAAAGAGCAAUUUCGAUCUUUAUGUUUUAGAGUUGAAGGUACAGGACGCUGAGGAUAGACCGGAAGCUGUUACAUAGUUGGAAAGGUUAGCAUUUACAUUCGUUAAUUUUGUUUCUGUGUAGAGACUCUGCUUGUAAAUGAUGAGAUCUUCGUCUUGUUUUUUUUUUUUUUUUUUUUUGGGGGGGGGGGGUACAAUUAUAAUAUGAGGUGAACCCUAAACCCUGGGGUGUCAACAAGAGAGCAUCAAUCACUGCUCCAAGGGGAUGUUGGUGAGGGGUUUUUCUUGUUUGUCAUACACCAUGACCAUCUAAUGCUGAAUGACUAAGUAUUUCUUCAUAUUAUAACGUUAUAUAAUCUAUAAUAAACUUUAAUGCCUCGUUUAGUUAUCUAGUGUAUUAACACAAGGAAAAGCUUACUACAUAAGUAUUAAAAUAGUUUGUCAUAACAUAUAGUGUAUAUUUAAACUUGAAAUUAGAAAGAUAAGUAGAACUCUAGUAAAAAAUAGGAACUCUAGUUAGUUUGUAACUCAUGUACUAAGACAUGAAGAAAUAAUAUUCCUACCGAACGUAGCAUAAGAGUUUCAUCAAUAACUGCAAGAAUGCUUUAAGCACCUAUUUGCUGCUGUUCCAAUUAUUGAAGUUUGUGUUGCCUCAUUUCUAGAUUUAAAUAUCCUUGUUGGGUUGGUUAUCAGGUAUUAUGGUUUAGGUACCAGUCACUGGCUCAACGCUAAGCUGUAUUUCUUUAAAUGGAAGAGAAUUAUUAUAUCCUCAUAUUCUUUCUAAGUUGUUAAUGAAAAUGACCAUAUUUUAUCAGAACUCUUUCUUGGUUAUUUGAACUUUCUUUUGAUUGUUGAUGUGUAAAAGCCUUGAAAACUUGUUUAUUGCCUUUUGAUUUUAUUAUCUCUUGAUAUAACUAAUAUUGAAAUAACUUGUAUUUUACUCACUCAAAGUUUCAUUCCCUUGCAUUUUAGAUGGCAGAAGUUGUUACAGAACAAUGGGUUCAAAUUCAACAUCUUGAGCAGUUACUUCAAAUUGCUAAAGUAUGGUCUUAGGCCCUAAUGAUAUCAGUUAUUUGUUAAACUCGGGGAAAUUUGAAAGAAAAUGACGAUAAAGGUUUUUCUCAUUAUAAUUAUCCUUUAUUUGCAUCAUUUCUUUGUGUUACAGAUGAGGGCAUUGCAAGCUCAAAAGCAAAGGAAUAUGAGAUGCACAUUCUUGAAGGUAAGAUAAUAAGUUGACAGUCUUUCAGACCUCUUCUUUUCCUCAGUCUAUGUCCCUUUAAAUUACUGGAAAUUUUAUCUUUGUAUAUCAAAGCAUCAGCAACAGUUAUAACUUUUAUAGUUCCUUUUAGUUAAGGCAAAAAUACUUUGUCAUAUGCUCGUUUUUCAUGUUAGUCAUAAGAUAAUCUAAUCUUGUAUGUGAAUAGUUCAUAGAUGGCAUUUCUGGAAGACAUCUACCGAAGCUGUUCAAGGCCUUGGAUGCUUAUUCAUUGGGAAAAGGACCUAUCAUAAGAUACUAUGUGUCUCAAGCUCUGCAACAAUUGAAAAGAUUUUACUCAGCUAUUAGAAGGUUUCACCCUGAGGUAUGUUUGAUACUGCAUGACUUUCUAGAUUCUUGUCUGAAAAAUAGUGGUGUCACUCUUGAAGGUCUUCACAUGUCAAAACUUACUUGACAUUACCUUUGUGAAAGUUUCCAUAAAAAAAAGUGGUCACGAAACAUUUGAAUUUCAGUAUUGUGCUUGCCUCUAUCAACACCUCUUCCACUUUCCUUAGCAAUUUGACCCAGAAGACUGUAAGAUAUAAUGGCUUCAAGAUUGCAGAAUCUCUUUCUUUUACUAAGUUCUGAAACUUAUUAUGGAAACUUUUGGUCUUUUCCAACCUAAAAAAUGGAAAAUCGGUGGGUUGAUCGGUCAUGUAAAUAAGACUGAGUAUUCGUGGAAUUAUAGUUCUAUCAGCCAAGAAGAGUAUAUUAUGAACCUUAAACUAUGUACCUACAUAGACUAUGUACCUUAAUUGGCCCUUUAUUGUUGCCUUGAAUGAUAUUAACCAUACUCUAACUUUUAUGACCAAGGCACUGAAAUUGCUUGUAAGAGAAGGAUAAUAAUUGUCUUGCACUUUCAACUUGAAAUUCUCUGCGUACAAUCAUCUCUGUUGGAUGUAUGCAGACAUUAAUUCUGCAAUCUUGUGCUUUACUUCAGAAUAUUAUUUAGUAACAAUUCAAUUUUCCUCCAAUGCACAGAAUUUGGCCUGCUUUACAAUUGGAGUUAAAUUUCUUCCAUCUGUCUCCUUUGUGCUCAUCAGAGGUUCCAGUUUACAAGUUAAUAUGUAUUAGUUUUAGAAAAUAUUGACCAAGUACAAAGAAGUAUAUCCCUUCCCUAGGAACCUCUGGCUUUGCAAGAAAUAAAUGUUUUCUGUUUGUUUGCAGUUGCAAGCUUUCAUCAAAGAGGAGAUGCAAAGAAAUGAACUUACUGCUGCUUUUGUCAAUGAUGAACUGGUAUUCUUUCUGGUAUGUUCUUGAGUACCAGCUGCCAUCUUCUGUACAUGAAGAUUUACUUGAAUUGCUGGUAUAAUUCUUUUUAUGGUAUUUCAGGCUUCUGCUUUCAUUACCUUCCCUGUACUGGGUGCUUGGAUGCUGCUUUUAACAUAGUUCAGCUAGGUGAAGAAAUUUUCUUUUAGGGGGUAGUGUCUUACCCUGAAAUAGUAGGUGACAUCCAAGCUGUUGUACUUUGUUUUCUCUGAUCUCUUUUACAGAUUGGUUUUUGAUAUUAAAAGGUGAAAGAAGAGUUAGACACAUGUACAGCGUACAGCGCCUGGUCAUUUUGUUGCCAAUGAGUCAAUUUUACAUGGAAGUAUUCCAGGGUCCAGAUCAAUACAGUAUGAUAUUCAUUGACCCAAAUGUUGAUUUUUGAGGCUUAUGAUAUUUGCAUAUAUUUGUAGCGUAAUCAAAAUUGGAGUCGAUCAUUGAAUUGAUUGUGUACAAAUAUACGUAGACAUUAACACAUUGGGAGCGUUUCACGUCCGUGAUAAUUUUAAUCAUUUUUCUUUAAAAAAAAUGUGGGGAUUUGAAUUUUAAUUUUUUUUCUUAAAAAGCUGGUUCCGGUAACGCCGUUGAUGAAACUAAAGAAGAGCCGUGGCAUCCAUGAGUGAAGAAUAACUAUUAAACAAAAACAAAUGAGGAAAGUGGUGAGGAGGAAUCGCAGAUUUUUGUUAAAAGAAAAAGGAAAACGUGAAUUCAUUGAUGAUUCAUCAUCUCUCUGUAGUCAGUCAUCAUGAAAUCAACGUAAAGAAAGGCAAAUGGCAGGCGAUAAGGCAAUUCCUUGAUGAAGGUAUUUCAAGCCUUGCAAAAAAACAAAAACCCUUCCUUUGUUUCUUUUUCUUUUUUUUUGUCACCUUCCGAAGUCACAAGGCUAAUCCAUAGUUGAGACUAAAAAAAGAAAAAAUGGAAGAGUCGACAUGGGAGCAAAAGCUCCAGGCUCUAACCCACAUCCUAACAAGCCCCACAACCUCACCGCCUCUCCACUCUCAACUCUUCAUCUCCACACAAAUCCCAUGUUUCCUCAACUGGGAUUUCCCUCCAAUUCUCUGCAAUAAACCCAACUCCCAUACCUUCCCAUCCCUCCACCUGAAAUGGGGAAUCUCUCUUUUCCUCAAAAGGGUCUCAAGAUUGGGUGUCCACGAAACUUCCUGGAGGUCCAAGUGCCCGUACUAUCAGCCCCCACCACUGAUUCUGGCCAAGGGAGUGGAUGAAGCACAAUGGGUCGAUACGCAAAAGCGAGAGUAUGUUAGGAAGAGGCUGAGAAGGAAACGCCUAGAAAGCCAUGUCCACCCUUUAAUUCCGAUUUUGAUUCCCGAUUUAUUAUUGUUCUCCCUGCUCUGGUUCAAUCCAUUUCCCCUUAAUGAUUCCUGACAAUUUUCCUUGUCUCAGAAUUGCGUAAUAAUAAGUACUUAACUCUUAUGUCUUAUCAGUUCUCUUGUCAACCUUGGAUCAUUUUAUUUGCUUUGGUCGAUUUCGGAUUUCUUUCUCGGUAGCACUGUUGUUUGCCUUAACAAAAUAUCUACUCUCAGAAAUUUUUCUUUCUUUUAUAGAAGAAGAAGAUGAUGAUGAUGAAAAGGGGCUUAAAUUGAGGCCCCAAGUAAAUUAAUUAGAAGCUCCAACGACAUCAUAAAGCAAAACCAGUAAUAAAGAGUUCUGAUUCACUUUGCUUAAUAUAGAAUUUACCUUUGCCAGAUAAGCCCGCCUGUAAUUUUGGUUAACGUCUAAACAUGCAUUUAUUUAUUUAUUUACAACUUACAUCAUCAAUUUUCUCCCCAUGUAUAACCGACCAAACUCCAACUGCACUACCUGAAACUAUUUAUUCGGUUUAGUUAAAUCUGGCCUCCACUUUACCACAACAUAGUGGGGCGGGCCAUCGCCUCCACUUUAUUCAAUACUUUCAGCUUCUAGAAUUAAAAACAAUACAUCAUGGUUUCUUUAUUAUGUUACUUUAAUUUUUUCCCCUUUUCGUAUAGUCUUGUUUUAUAUUAGCAAUGUUCAUAAAAGGUUGAAGUUUUGGAUUUUAAAUGUUUGAGUUUAAGUUUUACCAUCUAUAAUUGCAAUACGGGUCUCUGUCACUUAGUGUCUAUGUUGUGUGUUUUACCUAAUUGUUUUUUUUAGAUUUUAUCAUGUUUUUGUUCAAUUCUUUAUCUAUUAUGAAUUGUAUCAGUUGAAUUUUAAGUUAUAAUUUAUUGAACAUAUAUUUUUUUUUGUCUUCUAAUUGUACAGUUUUAUACCAGUGAAUUUUUUUUAAAAAAAAUCAUGUGAUUAUAGAAUAUAUGACAUAUAUUUAUGAAAUUUUUAGAAAAAAAAAAAAGAAAUGUUAAGUAUAUAUCAUUUUCAGUCACAUUAGAAUCCUGAUAAUACAUUAUUUCUACGGCUUCUACUUCACUAAACUGAUGAUCACAUUGGAUACUACCUUUUCUUUUCUUUUUAACUUAAUAGUUUUAAUGCUUUUCGAGUUUGGCAAACAUUUUUUUCAAAAAUUGGGUAGGAUUCGAUGGCCAGAUUGAUACAAUCUUUGUACGGCCGAAACGCUUCCCCACCGUUAAUCAAGCAACUAAACUUCACUUAAUCCAAGGAAAAGAAGAAAAGCAAAAAGUAAAAGCCAAAAGAAAAAUUAUUCAAUUGAUUGGUCAAACACUAACGUUGACAAUAAAGCAUUUUUCUUUUAACUCUCUACCAUUGAUUUUUUAUUCCAACCCAUCCUUACAGCUUUUUGUUAUUGUUGUUUUCUAAAACAGAACCUCAUAAUAUCAGACAUAUUGGGACUCCGAAAGUUCAACCUUCAGCGCGAAAAAAUCCUUCUUGUUUCCAUUAUGUUCAUUUUGUUAUAGAUAGAGGCAUCGGUGCUUGAAUUUUGAAUGCAUAAGCACGAACCAUAAAGUUCAAUCAAGAUAUGAGGAGAAUUUUCUUUUUCUUUUUCUUUUAUCUUUGCUUUUCUGUUUUUCCUUUGUUGAUGGCGCCAAACGUAGUCUUAAAGUAUAUUAGAUACAUCUGGUGAUCAACAUUCAAUUACAAUAAAGAGUAUAGAUAGAUACAUCAAUACUAUCCAGCCCUCUUUCAUGAUGAUGUUGCAAGUUUUGCACUCCACCCCCAUAUUAUUAUGAAGAGGAGAAAUUCCUGUUACAACAUUAAUUGAGCUUUAUUUUCUAAGAAAUGACUUCUAACAUUAAUAAAUUUGAAUCAAUUUAUAGCUAUUUCUCGUACUCUUUCGUAGUAUAGCUUUCUUUUUAAGCUAAAACAGGAGAUGAUUAUAAGACGUGAAGUUGUCUUAAGAUUAACAAGGCAGUUAGAUGCAUUUAAAUUGGUAUUUAAGGAUAUGUCUGUAUAUAACUAGAACUAAUUAAGAUUACAAUACACUGCAAAAUGAUUCCACCUUUUUUUUUUUUUUUUGGUUCUCUCUUUUAUAUGAUCAAAUACAAUGUUGAUAUGAACAAGGUUUUGCAGUUGUAGAAAAUCGUGGAGGACUUUUUUUUAAAAAAAAGAAAGAUAAAAUUCAUAAAAAAAUGUGAAGUUAAGCAUAUUUAGUGAUGGGUGGGGUAUGGGGUGGUUUGCUAACAUGGAAUGCGCAUGGCAGAUUGGCACUUUAAAGAAGGGAUGGGGCCGAGGGGGCGGGAGUUGUUAAAUCCUCGGCGUAGAAAAAGGUCAGUAAGCGUGUCCCUGGCAUUAGACAAGGAGAGGGGGUAGCGCAUGCACAGCCCAACUAUAUCUCUUUAUUUUAUGUCCCACUCCACUCCCCCUCAUCUCUGCCGCAACAUUAAAUACCUUAUGCAUCCUUACUAUUCAUAAUGGUUUUUUGUUGGGUUGAUGUUACAAAAUUAAAUUUUUUAUUAUAGAUGUAUUAAUAUUUUUAAAAAUAUAUAAGAUUUUUUUUAAGUAGGAGUUUAAUCUUUGGUGGUGAUGUUGAUUUUAGAUAUAUUCCCCACCCGCAAGUAGAUAUCAUACAUUCUAAUAUAAUUAAAAAAAAAGUAUAACUAAAAUAUUUUUUAUAUAUUUUUUAUAUUUUUUGAAUUUUUAAAUUUUAAAAAAUUAAUUAAAUGUUCAUGUGUCAUCUACAUGUAUGCAACGUUAGCGAAGUUUAAAAUAUAUUAAUUUUUUCAUUCGUGAUUUGAAAAAAAAAGGUAAGUUUAAAGGUUAAAAAAGCAUAAAUUUAAAUAAAUAGUUAAAAUAAUUUUUUUUAUAAAGUUAGAGAAUUAAAUAAAUUAUUAUUUUAUUUAAAAAUAAUUUUCAAUAAAUUACUAAUUUAGUCACAUAAUCUAAUAUAAUUUAAAAAAUAAUUAUUAACAUUUUAAUUUGUAUGAAUUCUUGUUAUGUAUGGAUUCUUGUUAUGUAUGGAUUCAAACCCGUUCGUUCCAUCAACAAAUUGAUCUGCAUGAGACUUAAGGGUUAGAAUUUUGUGUAACCCUUUUUCCUCCUAAUUUUUACUUUUAAAAAGAAAUUGCAAUACAAUUUUUUUUUAUAGAAUUCUCCUAUUUUUAUUUAUUUAUUUGCUUAGGAAGUUUUACUGACACUGCUUUUAUUUUUCCAUUAAUCAAAUUUAAGAGACAAUUCACUUUUUAUAAUUAACAAAAAAAAAAAAAAGAAAAUAAAAGAAAUUACUUUUUUCUUUUUCGUGUUCGAUACAAGAUAGAUGAAAUAUGAAAAAUAAAAUGAAAUGAAAAUAUAUUACUAGUUAUAUAUCACCUCCAUUAUGUAGGGGAAAGAAAUAAAAAUAAUAUUAAUUUAUGAUACUUCCAUAAUGUGGUUAAAAAUAAUUAUCUAGUAUUUUUUUGUAAAAAAAAAAGUUGAUAUCUAUGCUACUAAUGAGGUUUCUUAGUGAGUUUGUUACUACUAAUAAAGUUUAUUUGCAUGGUUGAGACCUUAUGCUUUUCAAAUACCCAUAUUUGAAUUUUAAAAAUUGUUGAAUUUUUAUUAUAUUUAAAAAACAAGUUAUUUAUAUAACUAGUAAUGUAUUAUUUUGACUUUUUUUUUAAUCGAGUUAAUGUUGGUUAUUUCGUUAUACCAAUUCAAUAAAAUAUUUUAUUUAUAUUAAAUUAUAGCAUACUCACGAUGUGGGUGAAGUAAAAUUAUUUAACAAAUAUAUUUUGAAAAAUUGAUAAAAAUACUAAAUGAGGUUUUGGUUAAAUAGUAAGAUAUAAUUAUUACAAAUUAUAAAUAUGUAGGUUCAAAAUCUAUCAUGUGUAUAUUUGUACUAUUAUUCUAUAUAAAUUGAUAACCUUAUAAAAGUAUCUAAUUUAGUUUAUGGUUGAUUGAUCGAUAAUACCAAAUUUAUUAAAAAUUAAUAUUAGUAAAGAUAUAUAGUACAAAACUAAACAUAAAAUUUUAUAUGUUAAGGAAAUAGCGGAAAAAAUAUCAUAUUUGUAGAACUGUUUAGCAGUGUGGGAGAAUGUGAUCAUUACAAGGAAAAAUGAAAUAUAUAUCAUUAAUAACAAACAUAAAAGAAAGCGUCUUUUGAUAAAGUUGUUAUUGGUGUAAUGUGAAGGGACCACAAUCAUCACCAUUCACCACUUGCUCCUAAUUGAGUUGAAAUCUUUUUACAACAUAGAAAACUAGAAGAUCGCCCUUUCUUGCUUCCUAUAUAUAGAUUUUGUAUCAUCGCAAUUUCACAUCACACACACAAGUAAAGCAUUAGCAACCAUAGCCAUGGCUUCCUCACCAAAACUCUUCUCUAUGUCUAUCCUCUUCCUUUUUGCCCUCUUCUCCAUGCAAAUCCAUGCUAGAGAGUACUUCAGCAAAUUCCCAAGAGUUAACAUCAAUGAGAAAGAGACAACAACCAGAGAGCAAAAGCACGAGACCUUCGUUCCCCAGACCACCCAAAAGCCAGAAGAACAAGAGCCAAGGUUCAUCCCUGAAACCCAAAAUGGUUAUGGCCUUUACGGCCACGAGUCAGGCUCAGGCUCAAGCCGGCCCAGUUUCACCACCAAAGAAACCUAUGAACCCUAUGUCACCCCUGUUAGAUUCCACCCUGAUGAGCCCUAUAACAGCAUCCCCGAAUCCUCCAACAAUAAAGACACUUACUACUACAACAAGAAUGCCUACGAGUCCACUAAGCAGCAAAACUUGGGCGAGGCCAUUUUCACCGAGAAAGGAUGGAGCACCAAGGAAAACCAGAACAACAACUACUACAACGGCAACAAUGGUUACAACAAUGGCGAGAAGCAAGGCAUGAGCGAUACUAGGUACUUGGAGAAUGGAAAGUACUACUAUGACGUCAAGAGUGAGAACAACUAUUAUCCAAACCGGUUCGACAACUCAAGAGGAGUUGCUUCGAGGAACCAGUUCAAUGAGAAUCGUUACAACAACAUGGGAAGGUACCACCAGAACCAAGAGGAGUUCGAGGAAAGCGAGGAAGAGUUCGAACCCUGAUCACCUGUCGUACAGUAUUUCUACAUUUGAUGUGUGAUUUGUGAAGAACAUCAAACAAAACAAGCACUGGCUUUAAUAUGAUGAUAAGUAUUAUGGUAAUUAAUUAAUUGGCAAAAACAACAAUGAAGCUAAAAUUUUAUUUAUUGAGC